rnacentral:rRNA from 1 species
AGACAAUAGAUACCCAGGUAGUCCUGGCCCUCAACGUUGCUCGCUCGUUUUACGGAGUAUCGACCCUCUGUGAGACUAAAGCUAACGCGGUAAGCGAGCCGCCUGGGUAGUACGAUCGCAAGAUUAAAACUCAAAGGAAUAGACGGGGACUCGCACAAGCAGUGGAUUAUGCGGCUUAAUUCGUCGGUAAACGAAGAACCUUACCAAGGUUAGAAACCCAACUGCAUCCGACCUGAAAGGGACGGAGCCUUCGAGGGUGUUAGGCAGGUGAUGCAUGGUCGUCGUCAGUUCGUGGUUUGAACUGUUCCCUUCAGUGGGGUAACGAACGCAACCCCGUUCGUC